rnacentral:rRNA from 1 species
ACCUACGGGAGGCAGCAGUGAGGAAUAUUGGUCAAUGGGCGGGAGCCUGAACCAGCCAAGCCGCGUGAGGGAAGAAGGUACAGCGUAUCGUAAACCUCUUUUGUCAGGGAACAAAGGCGGGGACUAGUCCCCGGAUGAGGGUACCUGAAGAAAAAGCAUCGGCUAACUCCGUGCCAGCAGCCGCGGUAAUACGGAGGAUGCGAGCGUUAUCCGGAUUUAUUGGGUUUAAAGGGUGCGCAGGCGGCCUGUUAAGUCAGCGGUAAAAGCCCGAGGCUCAACCCCUGCGAGCCGUUGAAACUGGCGGG